CCAAGAGUGAGGGUGAGGUGAAGCUCCCAUUUACAAGUAGGAUGGAAACGCCAGUCUUAGUGAAAAGUUCAAAGGACAAAAGAGCCACAGGCUUCAGUUUUUCCUAAAAAUAACACAGCGUCUCUUUCCCAGGGGAGGGGAGAUGUUUGGCCUUGUUUCCUCUUGGCUCAUGUUGUGGGGUGCACACGUGAGUGAGUGUGCUUGUGUGUCUGCCUCCGAGCUCCUCUCUAAUCAGCCCUGGGGAUGCUGGGUCUACGGUCCACUUGUCCUUCUGAGAACAAGCGUCGCUCAGGUAAAUGCCCUUGGAACACGUGAGUGAAUGUGCUUGUGUGUCUGCCUCCAAGCUCCUCUCUAAUCAGCCCUGGGGAUGCUGGGUCUACGGUCCACUUGUCCUUCUGAGAACAAGCGUCGCUCAGGUAGGAUUGGCUUAUCUUUUGUUUAUGAAAAUGACAUCUGGGUUGAAGUUCAAGGAUGCACUGAGCAUCUGCUCAUUGUACUGCUGGGCUGUUGGUUCCUAGAAGUUCGGGUUGGAGGCUGAAUGGUCAUGUGACUUUGGGGAAAGAAGGAUAAAAGAAAGACUGGCAAUUGGAUUCUGUUCUGCAGUAUAAGGAGCUGUAGGCUGGUGGCUGGGGCCCCUGGAAGAUAAAG